rnacentral:rRNA from 1 species
UACGUAGGGGGCAAGCGUUGUCCGGAUUUAUUGGGCGUAAAGAGCGUGUAGGCGGCCUGACAGGUCUGCUGUGAAAACUCGAGGCUCAACCUCGAGAUGUCGGCGGAAACCGUCUGGCUAGAGUCCGGAAGAGGAGAGUGGAAUUCCUGGUGUAGCGGUGAAAUGCGCAGAUAUCAGGAGGAACACCGGUGGCGAAGGCGGAUCUCUGGGCAAUAACUGACGCUGAGGAGCGAAAGCGUGGGGAGCGAACAGG